rnacentral:lncRNA from 1 species
AACAUCACUUCCUCUUUCUGUUCUGACAUCAUCAAUCCACUUUGUAGUUUGCUGGAAUGAGUUAACAUUUGUGAUAUCGUAAACUACUACAGCUGCAGCAGAAUCACGGAUGUACCUGGGAAUGAGGCUACGGAGACGUUCCUGACCCGCCGUAUCCCACAGCCGAAGCCCGAUUGUUCCAUCCUCCAAGAACACCAGCUUGAAUUUCCUCAGCGGAUUCCCGAAGUCUCCGCCCGCGGACAUGGUGGAACUAGAGGAGCUGUCGCCGCCUCAGCCCAGAGACCUCCCGGACCGAUGCUCCUCCAGCCGGCUGACGAAAAAGGCAUAAAGGCAACACAAGUGGUCAGGCUCAGCUACUCUGGUUCCUACAGACUUUCCCCUUUGGGAUAGCGUCUCUCACCAUCUUGACUGCUUACCAACAGAAGCGCCAAAACCAAACUUGAGGAUGUCCACAAGCUUGCUCUACACUUCUACAUUCAUCCUCAUCUUUUUUGUGUGUGUUUGUGGGGUAGGGGAGGUGCAGUGUUUACUCAGUGAUCUUUCUACUUUCUAGAAAGUGUCUGUCCUUCAAAACUAUUUAAGAGCCUCUCAUUAGUCAUUUUUUCUCUUAUAUGCUCUGGUUGAGCUUGAAUAGACCAGUUGUUGCUUAAGAAAGAAACUGAAAAGAUUUUAGCUUUUCAGUCCUAUUUGGCAGAGGACUUCAGCUACCUUCUUAUGGUCUUUGGCUGUGUUGGUGCCCUCAUGUGCUCUGGGCUAAGCCACAUACUAAAUUGACUUUUUGGUUUGUAUACCCUUGCUCUCGCCUUCUGAUGAAAACACCUUACCCUCACCACCACCAUCUUUGCUCUCCUUUCCCAAAACUCUUUCCGCCUUGCUGCACUAAGAUAGUGACACCUCCACCACACGUCAAUUCCACACACAUUUAUUAGGUACCUGUGAAGCAGGAUCUUAUCCUCUUAAACUUCCACUUCUCACACUAGAGAGAAAGAUAAGGAAGAUGAGCAAGUGCCUGGAAUGGGGCAGGCUGAGUGGUCACACAGGCACAGAGGCACACUGAGAACCUACAGGGGAGACUGCAGAGUGCCUUCCCUGAUGCUGCAGCUGGAAGUCAUCCUUCCCUCCACCUGGCCCCUGAGACACUCUACUCUGUAGUGUGCAGUCUGAUGGCACUGCUAGAUUUCUUUUUCAGCUCAGGGCCACAGCUUAAACAGCUUUACCUUUCCCCUCAGCACCUGUCCCACUACCUUGCACACAGGUACUCUAUCCGUGUUUAUUGAACAAAGGAGGGAAACUGAUUUCACUUUCACUUGUUCAUUAUCAUUCCAAUUUUUAUGUGAAAAUGGCACAACCCAUUUGGGGUACACUCAUCUCAAAAGAAAAGCCCAAGACUACCUCUGACUGGUACCACCUUUUUUGUGGGUUCCUUGGUGAGAAACCUUUAUCUUUUUCAUACUUUUCUAUUCUCCAUCACUUCUCCAAAAGUGUCUCUUUCCAGCUCUGAUUUAUUCAAAACACACAAACAUUCCUGUUUAGAGAUUCUAGCCCAUGGAUUAUCCGGCUAGUUAGUACCUCUCCUGUUCACUUGGUUAUACUUUAUUAUUGCUCAGAGGUUGGGGAGGCAGAAUGACUGUGUCCCCUCACCCUGGCAGAAUGACUGUGUCACCACUAGGAGCCAUUAGGGCUUCUUCCCAGGAGGACUGCCUGCUUGCUUUCUGGGGACUAGCCCUUAUUUCCCUUCUGUGGUCCAGUGGGGCAAGUGAUUUGUAUUAGACAAAUAUUUAUAAGAAACAACCCCCUCCCCAAAAUAGAGCCACCAAGUAAAGCACAAGCCUGAAAGAUGAUGAACUAUGAAUUGUCUCUAGUGGAUAUAAAUUUCUGCAAAUAUAUCUCAGUCUUUCUCUCUUUUCUCUGGUGAUUAAAAAGUUGGUUUUUGGUAAGGAAAAGGAUUUUUGACCAUAGAGUUAUGCAUCAUGGAAAUUCAAACCCGAUUUCUUAAUACCUGGUCUUCUCCGAAGAGAAAUAAUGAUAGUAAUAGUGGUGCUGGGAACAAUAUGGAAGAUUAUUGAAUGAAAUGGAUUAACUUGAAUAAAAUGCUGUGAAUUAUCUCUA